GAGGCAUCUGUGUACUUAUUGGA
rnacentral:siRNA from 1 species